rnacentral:rRNA from 1 species
CCACACGAAGCUGGAAUCGCUAGUAAUCGUGAAUCAGAAUGUCACGGUGAAUACGUUCCCGGGUCCUUGUACACACCGCCCGUCACACCAUGGGAGUCAGCAACGCCCGAAGUCAGUGACCUAACCGAGAGGGAGGAGCUGCCGAAGGCGGGGCCGGUAACUGGGGUGAAGUCGUAACAAGGUACC